GAUGAACGCUAGCGGCAGGCUUAACACAUGCAAGUCGAGGGGUAUGCUUCUUCGGAAGCAGAGACCGGCGCACGGGUGCGUAACGCGUAUGCAAUCUACCUUUUACAGAGGGAUAGCCCAGAGAAAUUUGGAUUAAUACCUCAUAGUAUUAUAGAAUGGCAUCAUUUUAUAAUUAAAGUCACAACGGUAAAAGAUGAGCAUGCGUCCCAUUAGCUAGUUGGAAGGUAACGGCUUACCAAGGCUACGAUGGGUAGGGGUCCUGA
rnacentral:rRNA from 1 species